rnacentral:lncRNA from 1 species
UUGUACUGUAUCUCACACUACAUCUACUGUAUCGCUAACGGUUACCGUAUAGCUAAUUGCUAUCAAUCAGUUCCAUAUAGUCCGUAUUUGGAAACUAUGAAUAAAUCAACUAUUUCUAAACUUACGUGGGUUAUAUCGGAAAUGGUUACAAUUUGGCAAAACAUUCAAAUAUGAUUGCAUACUGUUUAGUAUCAUGAAAAGUUGUCACACAUACAUUGAAGUCUUAUGGUUUGAUAGUAAACAUACCGUACGCGGAGUAGUUAUAUUGCACUUGUGUGCGUUUUGUGAAAUCGGAGAAAAUUUUUCACCAGUCAAACUGCCAUAUUUGUGUUCAUUUCUGCGAAUCGAGUGUCGAAACUUGUUUGAAGUGAAAUAAGGAAUGCAUACUUCUUAGGACUUCAGAGUGGUGCUGCAAAAUAUUUACAGGUAAGUGUUAUUAUUAUUUUUCAUCGAAGUCAGAGUUGACAAUGUUCUUUUUCUUUUUAAGAGUUUCAACAGUGCCGAAGGAUCGUGGAACCAGAAUAUCAUCCCCAAUGCUGAAUCUAGGCGCUGAAUUCAACUUGAACCUGUUUCGCAACUUUCAGCGGAAAUAAAGUUUCUGGAGUAGAUACACGAA